GUACAUUAUCAAAUGCGCUAACAGUAGUGCUUUGGCAGUCGAAACAGAAAGAACUGGUUCUAAAUUAGGCUCUGGCUCCGAACCAGCACUCGAACUGCCUCGGUGGAAAAGGGGCACCUGUGGUCAUUUGUAUCAUGUGUAGGGACACGGCGAGGCAUGUAGGGGGAGUGAUGAGCACAGUGAGGCAUGUGGGAGGAGCAAGGAACAUGGUGAGGCACUUGGGGGGAGCAAUGAGCACAGCAAGGCACUUAGGGGAAGCAAGAAACACAGUCAGGCACGUUGGGGGAGUGAUAAACAUGGUGAGGCACAUGGGGGUAGAGAAGAAGACUGCAAGGUAAAUGGGGGAGCAAGGAACAUGGCGAGGCACUUGGGAGGAGUGAGGAACACAGAGGCAUAGCCAGAUGUGCUGAACGACGUCCACAGCCAAGCAGAAUUUCUGAGCGAUGUCCACAGCCGAGCAGAAGAGCCAAGCAGAAGGGCAGAGUGAUUUACACAGCAAGGAAGCAAGGAACAUGGUGAGGCACAUGGGGGGGAGUGUGGAAAAUGGCAAGGCACAAGGGAGGAUAGAGAGGAAGACGGCAAGAUAAGUGGGAGGAGCGAGAAACAUGGUGAGGCAUUUGGGGGAAGCAAGGAACACACAGGCAUAGCCAGAUGGGCUGAGCAACGUCCAAAGCCAAGCAGAUGUUCCAAGUGUCAUCCACAGCCAAGCAAAAGGGACAAGCGAUGUCCACAGCCUAGUAGAAGGGCCAAGCAGAAGGUCUGAACGACUUCCACAGCUGUGGAGAGUGGAUCCUCUUGUAAAUUGUUUUUCCUAUGAAUCCUCAAGAAGUAGAGUCACUAUUGUGCCUUCUUUACCAAUACUGUGGUGUUCGCAGUCCAGGAGAGAGUAUAAUCAAUAUGUAUACCCAAGAACCUGAAAGUGGGGACCCUUCCCACACAUUCACCAUUGUUUUAGAUCGGAUCAGGAACUGUGAUAUGCUUCUAUGAUGUCAUAUGAGGUCUGUGAUAAGGUCUUUUGUUUUUGCAUUGUUCAGGAUGAGAUUGUUUUCUGGAACCAUAAAGCCAGUUUUUGGACUUCAUGCCUGUAGGUUUCUUCACUCUCUGAGAUGAGACACCUACAAUUGUGUCAUUUUUGUCGGUGGGAUGAGUGUAUGCCCAGUCCUAGUCAUAAAGAAUGGUGUUCAACACACACUUGUGGGGUACCAGUGCUGAGUGCGGAGUAGUGUGGAGGAGAGGUGGUGGCCUAGUCUAACAGACUAGUGGCGAUCUUUUAUAAAGUCCUUAAUCCAAUGGCAAAGUGGGUUGAUAAAGUCCAAGGUUAUCAAGUUUGGUGACAAAUCUAGUUGGGAUGACAAUAUUUAAGGCAGAUUUGAAGUCUACCCAUAGGUUGAAGAUCUUAGUAAAGACAGCAGAGAGUUGGUUUGCAAAUUUCUUCAGAACCCUUACUGUCACACCACCAUAGCCAGCAGCUUCCUUGAGUUUAUUGCUUUGAGCACACACUUCUCAAGCUCCUGCACUAUGAGGAUGUGGUCGUUGGAGACUAAUGUCGAAGCAGUCUCUGCUGUUGUUACCUCAUAGCAGGCAAAGAAACAAUUGAGUUCCUCUGCCAGUGAGGCAUUGUGUUUGUUGGUCCCUCUCACCAUUCAGGGCAUCUGAUUGGGGUACAUGCUGAUUUGUUUGUCCACAGUGACAUUGUCAAAAAAAAUUUUUAUGUAGUACUUCACUUGAUGUACACAAACUCUAUAAAACUAUAAAAUCUUCCUAAUUUGUCCACACAAAACAAAAACAAAUUUUGUCUUGAUGUUUGAGUAGGCUUUGUCCAGCGUGUUUUUCCCUUGAGUGGUAUAUUUGAUGUCCAUUUGAAGCUCCACAACAUCAUCUCUUCUCUACUCCCCUUCUACUAUGCUCUAGACCAUCUCGUAAGAUCUUCUGCCCUUCAUUACCACUAUCAUCAAUAGAUCCAUAACAUCUGGUCAGGUACCAACUACUUUAAGAGAGAAAGGGUUAUUCCCGUCCUAAAGAAACCUGCACUGGAUCCAUCAGACAGUAACUACAGACCGGUAUCACUUCUCUCAUUUCUUUCAAAAAUUCUUGAACGCAUUGUCUAUAAUCAACUGUCUGUCUCUCACAGAACAAAAUCCAGCAAGUUUGCAAAAUAAUGGAAUAAUCAAGAGAAGUAGUUCUCUCUACAAUCUUAAUCCCAUACUUCACUCUGGUAUUAUAAGAGUUGGUGGUCGUCUUGGUAAUGCAAAAAUUCCUGAGGAAGCUAAACAUCCAAUCGUACUGACUAAGGAUAUGCACAUUUCUAACCUGAUUUUGCACCACAUUCAUGAACAAGUUGGACAUAGUGGGCGAAACUACAGUACAUGCUGGCUAGCCUUUGACAACAAUAUUGGAUCACUGGAGCUACUGUAGCCAUAAGAAGAAUUCUAUCAAAAUGUGUAGUAUGUACAGUAGAAGGUUCCAUGGAACUGCAGGACAUCAACAAAUGGCAGAUUUACCACCAGAUCGAGUUUUACCAGAAGUUUUAACACCUACUCAUCUUCUCCUGUUGAAGACGAAUUUGACAUUACCUCCUGGAACAUUCACUAAAGAGGACUUGUAUACACAUAGAAGGUGGAGUCAAGUUCAGUACAUGUCAAAUCUAUUUUGGAAGCAAUGGAUAACUGAUUACCUACCUCUACUACUGGAACAACAGAAGUGGAUUGUAAAAACGCGCAACUUUCAGUUGGGAGAUGUUGUGCUUCUAGUGGACAACAAUGCACCAUGGAGCUCCUGGAAUAUGGGUAGAAUUGUGGACACCAUAAAGGACAAAAAAGGAUUUAUACAAGUCAAAAUCAAGACUAUGAGUUCCCUUUUAACUAGACCAAUUACAAAAAUGUGUUGUCUUCUUGAAGCGGAGGGACAUAAAAAAUCUAUGGACUAACUUCUUAUAGUGACAUUUUGAGAGCUCUCAACAGAUAUGACAUAAUUCUUACAUUAUUGAAGACUAACUUUAUAGCUACAAGGAUGAACAAAACAGACUCUUAUUGACUAAAAUACUCAAUGUGAAUUUAUGUCCCAUACUGCAGUGUAAAUGUUUUAUUUAUUCAUAAUUAUGCUUGAUUAUUACAGAUUUAUGGUGUAAUAAUCAGGGGCAAUUGUCCGUAGUGUGUGAUUGCGUGAGUGAAUGAGAGUGUGUGUGCCCUGUGAUGGGUUGGCACUCCGUCCAGGGUGAAUCCUGCCUUGAUGCCCGAUGACGCCUGAGAUAGGCAUAGGCUCCCCGUGACCCGAGAAUAGUUCAGAUAAGCGGUAGAAAAUGAAUGAAUAAUCAGGGGCUGGAAUGUAAGUGCACUAUAUGUUUGACUUUUAUUUUGUAUUUUGGGAAUGCAUUUCCGGGUCAUAUUGCUUCAUUGGGGUUCAAGUGUAUAAGUAUCUCACUCCAUUUCCUGUUUGGUAGUGUGUAUGGGAAGAGGGGGAAGUAAGCAGGAAAGCUUACUUUCUGUUGACCAUAACCUUUAUUGGUGUAUUUUAAUGUGGCUUUUAUAUAGACUUCAACAUAAUCAGUCAACAAGUGUCUUCAGUGUUUUGCAUAAUCGUAUGCUUUUUUGUUUAUGAGUUUGUGGUUUUCAUCAGUCUGUACAACAUGUAUGUCAUCUCGUCAAUAAAUGUGAUCAAGGAACAA